GGCAACGCAGCUUCCAUGAGAUCAGACAUAACCAGUUUGCAGCCAGCUCCAGUGCCUCAGUGCUUGCUGAUAACUUCUACCAAGCAACAGCUGGGAGAAAUGCUCAAAACCCUUCUCUUCACUUCCCUCACCUGGAAACCUGGGCAGCAGUGAAAGCAGCCAGAAUUGCAUAGCAGGCCAUGAGAACAGCUGACAUGUCUAAGCAAUCAACUGCAGGCUUCUGAUAGAUUUCCAAAAUAUCUCCAGCAAACAAAGGCAAUGGGGCAAGGUUAACAUUCUGCAAGACUCUCUCUGAAAUGCAAGGAAACAGAGAGAGCAAAGAGUGUGAGUCAGGGCUGUAAUGUGUGCAUGCAUGCUGCCAUAAAGCAGUUCAGCCUA